rnacentral:misc_RNA from 1 species
GGACGCAUUGCAUAAGAACAAGAUAGUAAUAGUCUUCAUUCCUCACAUCGGUUCUCGUCCCAAAAUCCCACGCGCUAAGAAGUAAGAAUGGCAUCUCCAGCAACGAGGAUCACAUUUCGACUAGUGGUGGCGGGUCUCGUCAUUAUGAUCCUCUUCUACGUUGGUCGUCCUCUCUAUUGGAAAAUCUCCGCCACCAUUCAAGAGAUCCGCGAGAAUAAACGCACCGUCCAACAAGGCAUUUCACAGAUUGUUUACGAAGCGCAGAAAUCGGUUGGUUGGUUCCACGACGAGUCCGAUUCUGGAGUUCGUGAAGAUCGGAAAGCGAUAAAUCGGAGGCUACUCUUUUAAGAUUAGAUGUUAUUUGGAAUUUCUGAGCCAUGGUAUAUAAGCCAACCAUUUUCUAGGAAGAAAUUUCUUCGCUGUUACUAAAGAUCUACACUCAGUAGCCAAAGAUUAGUCAUGAUCAUAGUUCCAUAUUCUUAUGGGUUCUGAACUGAUUAAGUUAUCCCAGAAAAAAUGCCAGGGUGAUGGGUGGUAUCAUGAGAUAGUUAAGACUUGCACACGUUGGUUUUCUUUUACUAAUCAUGUUGCUGAUUAAUGCAAUUGCUGUUAUUUUCUAUUGCCCUUUACACCAAAGUGGAUUACUUGUGUUCUUUGAGCCUUGCAUUUCAUUAUGGAAUCCGGAGUGUGUUGUGCUUGUUGAGGUUCAUCAGGUAGCUUUUAUUUAACAGCUACCUG